UACGGAAGGCAGCAGUGGGGAAUAUUGCACAAUGGGCGCAAGCCUGAUGCAGCCAUGCCGCGUGUAUGAAAAAGCCUUCGGGUUGUAAAGUACUUUCAGUCGUGAGGAAGGUGUUAAGGUUAAUAACCUUAGCAAUUGACGUUAGCGACAGAAGAAGCACCGGCUAACUCCGUGCCAGCAGCCGCGGUAAUACGGAGGGUGCGAGCGUUAAUCGGAAUUACUGGGCGUAAAGGGCACGCAGGCGGUUAAUUAAGUUGGAUGUGAAAUCCCCGGGCUUAACCUGGGAAUGGCAUUCAAGACUGGUUAGCUAGAGUCUUGUAGAGGGGGUAGAAUUCCAUGUGUAGCGGUGAAAUGCGUAGAGAUGUGGAGGAAUACCGGUGGCGAAGGCGGCCCCUGGACAAAGGACUGACGCUCAUGUGCGAAAGCGUGGGGAGCAAACAGGGAUUAGAUACC
rnacentral:rRNA from 1 species